rnacentral:antisense_RNA from 2 species
CUUGAUCGAGCCGAGCCGCAACGGUUGGUCGGCGGGGCGCUGCCGGCCGUACGUGGCGAGCAGCGCCUGCGCCUC